rnacentral:lncRNA from 1 species
GGCGGUGGCUGAGCGGGGGGGCUGCGGGCGAUGUGCCCCCGAUGUGCCCGCACUGUGACCGCGAUGUGCCCCCAUUGUGCCUCGCAGGAAGCUGAAGAACCGCGUGGCGGCUCAGAGCGCCCGGGACAGGAAGAAGGCGCGGAUGACGGAGCUGGAGCAGCAGGUGGUGGAGCUGGAGGAGGAGGUGAGCGCCGGGGCGGGGGUGCGGGGCGGCUGCGGGACGCGAUCUGACCGCGCGCCGAUAUCCGCAGAACCAACGGCUCCUGAGGGAGAACCAACGGCUGCGGGAACAGACGGGCAGCCUCUCCUUGGAGAACCAGGAGCUCCGCUGCCGCCUGGGCUUGGACGCUUUGAAGACAGAACCGGAGGACGAGUCGACGGUUGUGAAGGAAUCCCAGGUGGAUGACAUCGGGUUGGUGACCGGGUCCGCUGAGUCCGCAGCACUCAGACUACGUGUUCCUCUGCAGCAGGUGCAGGCCCAGCUGUCACCAUUUCUGACAACCUCCACAUGGAUUCUGAUGGCAGUGACUCUUCAGAUUCUGAGUCUGAUCUCCUGUUCGGAUUACUGGACAUUCUGGACCCAGAAAUGUUUCUCAAAUGUGCUGAUUCAGAAUCAUCCAGCCUGGAAAAGCUGGAGGAAGAGAUGUGUGGAGAAACAAAUUCCAUACCGACCUCCCCCUCUCCCUCUCUGGGGUCCCCAUCAGCUAAGCUGGAGGCCAUUAAUGAACUCAUAAGCUGGAGAUGCUUCAAGGCAUGGCUUAUCAAGGCUUACUGUCAGUGUUCUGAUACAGGCUGGUGGUAUUUACUAGGCUCGCUCCCCAGAAAGCACACACUUCAUGUUAGGUACGUUGAAGCUUCACAGAACUCAGGAUUUUUGCUAGCACUAACAUCUACUAGACUUGAGACUAGUGACUUGUACCUGGUUACCACACUGUUCUUAUGUUGUUCAUACGAUUAA